rnacentral:rRNA from 1 species
AAUAGAUACCCAGGUAGUCCACGCCGUAAACGAUGGAUGCUAGCUGUUAUGCGUAUCGACCCGUGUAGUAGCGAAGCUAACGCGUUAAGCAUCCCGCCUGGGGAGUACGAACGCAAGUUUAAAGCUCAAAGGAAUUGACGGGGACCCGCACAAGCGGUGGAGCGUGUUCUUUAAUUCGAGGCUAAGCGAAGAACCUUACCAGGGCUUGACAUCCUUGGAAUUUCUCCGAAAGGAGAGAGUACUUUAUUGGACCAAGUGACAGGUGCUGCAUGGCCGUCGUCAGCUCGUGUCGUGAGAUGUUUGGUUAAGUCCAUUAACGAGCGCAACCCUUAUGAAUAGUUGUAUUUUUCUAUUCAGACUGCCCCGGUAACGGGGAGGAAGGGGGGAUGAUGUCAGGUCAGUAUUGCCCUUACGCCCUGGGCUAGAAACGCGCUACAAUGGCCGGUACAAUGCGCUGCCAACCCGCGAGGGGAGCAAAUCGCAUCAAAGCCGGUCCCAGUUCGGAUAAGAGGCUGAAACUCGCCUCUUGAAGCCGGAAUCGCUAGU